CUUCUAGUUGCUUUUACACGCUUCAGGCCUGGAUACCUGAGAAACGGAGUGGUGGAAUCUUGCUUAAAGAAAAGAUCCUAAGAUAUCAAGCAAAUGAUCCAUGAAUGGGAAAGAGAAAUUCACAGAAGUAAUAUUACCAAAGGUGAAAACAAACCCAGGACAUGAGCUUUACGGCAAUACAGACUGAAAAGAAAAGAUUCUCUGAUUCUUUAGUCAUUCCAUGCAUAGCACUCAUUAUGAGGUCAAUGGGAAUUUUGUGUAUAGAAGGCCUUCUGGCAAAAAAAGCUGAUUUAUUAUUUACAAAGAAGAAUUGCUACAUUUGAGUUCCUGAUGGCUAAAUAUCCUAUCCUUUAUUCGGAAUGUUGUCGAUGGAGCCCUCCACAGAUCUCUCCCUUAGAAGAUGGUGUGACUCAGUAUGGGAAUUUUCCACAUCUGUUAGGAAACUGCUACAGAUGGUUCAACUCACUAUCUGACAGAACUCCUAGUGAACAUCAUCGAAGAGUACUGGGACCUCACUUGGACUAAAUGUUAAGCUUGCCUCCUGUUCAGUGCCAUUACAUUUUCUCUAAAAUAAGAUUCUUAACCAAUUCUAUUGGACCCAGGAUACACUUUUAAAUGCAGCCAGACUGCAAUCCUGUUUUAUACAGUUGGCAAAUGUGACUAAGUUAAACAGCACUGGUUGUCAUUGUUCAAGCCUCUAUCUAAGGAUUGUGCCUCAAACAUUGUAGUAGCUUGUAGUAUCUUUUAAAUCUUUAUUGCAUCUCUCAAAUGAUGAUAUAAUGAACUUAAUUUUUUUACUGUUAAUUUUUUCUAUUUUGUACUAUCUUAGUUUGCAAGUAAACAUUUUUUCUUCACCAUUUUUGUGCUUCUUCCUUUGGCAAACACUGAUGCAGUGUUUCCCCCCCUCACCUCCACCCAACUUCAUGUUUGUCAUGAAGUUGCUCCAUGUUUGU